CNGACAGACCCUACUCUUUGUGGUCAGGCCAC
rnacentral:piRNA from 1 species